CUUCGAUUCUUCUGUUGUUGAUAUUCAUUCAAUAGGUAUAGCGUAAUGGAAAGAUUAUAUUAUUGCUACUAUGCCCCCCACCCACACCCAGAAAAUAAAAACAGGAAAAAUAAAAAUAAAAAAAUAUAUUAUGUGUGUGUAUAUAUUAUUGGUACUAUACAGUCUAUUUAACCGGCAUUUUCAUGGUACAAUAUUCAAUUUCACAUGCUUGAUCCUGUCUUCCUUGUAUUUAUUUUAACAAAGUCUAUUUGUUUAUAAUCUUCUUCUGUGUAUGCAUAUAGUUACAUAUUUGCAUGGGUAAUAUAUUCAUAACUUUUCUUAUGAUUCUCCACUGAUGGAUUUUGAACAUUAAAGUUUCAGAUUCUCUAAAUAUAUUUGAAUUUAGAUUGGAAGGUCGUUUGGACUUUUUCUGUUUCACCAUAUUUGAUUAUGGGUAGUUUGGCAGGUUUAGUUGUUUUUAGAAUAGACUAUGUUAGGUUAUAUUAAGCAAUAUGCUGAUUUUCUUCUCUAACAAGCUUGAUAUGAGCUGCACUAGCUUGCUAAUUUAAGUGCCCAGUUUAAAUUAAGAAGAUUAACAUACACCAUGAGGCAAAUGACACUAGUCAAAAUCGGAAACAAACUAUCAACACGCUAUCACAUUACAAGAUGUUUAGUGCAUCAACAUACUUGAAUUUUAAAAAUUUUAGCUUGACAUGAAUGAAAUGAGAGAAUUCUUCACUAGAUAAUCAACCAUGACUAUAAAGAUCGAAGAAUAUGAAAACAGCGAGCUAAGUUACAAUCUCCUUGCCUAAGAAAAAAUUACACACUUAAGGGGUUCCCUCUAUAGCUCAAUUCAACCUCAAAGGAGAAUUCAGUUUUACAAUCCUCUCACUAGUUAAAGGGAUUGGAAGUGUUCAAAGGUUAGAGGAACUUUCGUUCUUAACGCAAGGUUAGAUUUCUUGAGUGGAAAAACUUUGAACUUCUCUAGGGGGAGUGACUUUUAUAGCCUUCAAGGUUCGAGGUAGUUAAGGAAAGUCAAAGUCCAUGCAACCAACUUCCCAGGUGGUUUCGGAGUCCAAGGAGGAUCUGGAUUGAAAAUGACGGUCAUUUGUUUUGACCAGCAAAAAUGGUGGGUCAGCAGUUUAAGAAUGAAUGCAGCUGCAUUUUGUUUUGCCUUGUGGGAAAUGGGGCCACAUUCUGACAAAAUAAUAGAAUUCAUGCAAAUAAGUCAAAAUGAAUUAAUACAUUACAAAAUUGACAUUUUUACAUCUAGAUACAUUAAAUGAACACAAAAGAGUCUUGGGUUCAUACUAUUCCUAGAUACUAUUUCUAUUUCAUACAAAAGAGUCAUACUAGUUUUACCUCUAGAGACACCAAUUCGCCUGGGCAUGGUUUUAUGAUGAAACUUCAGGGUUUGAAAGUUAUUAUCCGGGAUUGGAAUACCAAUCGUCGUAGUGAGGUUACUAAUCUUCAUUCCCUAAUCUCACAAUUAACCAAUUUAGAUGUCCUGGAAGACAACCAGGCCCUUAAUGAGGAACAAAUUAAUAGACGUGUUCUUCGUGAACAAAUUGAAAAUAUGACUAUUCAAGAUCAUUUCCAUUGGCAGCAGCGUUGUAAGCUGAAAUGGCUUCUUGAGGGUGAUGAAAACACAUGGUUUUUCCAUAAAAUUGUUGCUGCCCGACGCCGUAAGUCCUCUAUUACGGAGAUUCUCUCAAGGGAUGGCACAAGUCUUUUGACUUCACAGGACAUUGAAGUUGAAUUCUUGUCUUUUUAUUCAUCCCUUUUCAAAAAAGACGGGGGUCAGCGAUUCCUUCCACUAAACCUUAAGUGGAAUCCUAUUUCACCUACUCAAGCCAUUGAUCUCGAGCGUCCUUUUAUUGAUGAUGAGCUAAUAGACAGAUUCUUGAUGCUUCCCUGAUGGUGAAUGAGCUCAUUGAUGAUUGGACCUCUCAGAAAAAACCAGGGGUUGUCUUAAAACUGGAUCUUGAGAAAGUUUUUGACAUAGUUGAUUGGGACUUCCUUGAUUAUAUACUCCAGGUUAAAGGUUUUGGUUGCCGCGGGUGUAACUGGAUCAGAGGAUGCAUUUCUAGUGCGAAUUACUCGAUCAUCAUUAAUGGCCGCCCUCGUGGCAAGAUUCUUCCCUCACGAGGCAUAAGACAGGGAGAUCCUCUCUCUCCUUUCUUAUUUAUCUUAGUGGCUGAUUGUCUGAGUCGUCUUAUUGAUCAUAGCUCUGCAUUGGGUCAUAUUAGUGCACAUCCUGUUGGCCAUUCUGAUUUUACUCUGAUUCAUUUACAGUUUGCUGACGACACGUUAUUGUUCUCUACUGCUGAAAGAACUGCCAUAUGGAACUUGUUUGAAAUUGUCCAUAUUUUUUAGUAUGCUUCUGGCCUUAAAAUCAAUCUUGUUAAGAUUGAGCUUCUUGGGAUUCAUGUCUCUGACUCUGAUUUUGACUGGUUGCUGCAUUCUUUUGGCCAGCUUCUUAUUUAGGGCUUCCUUUGGGUGGUAGUUCAAAAUCUGGUUUGUUUUGGCAGCCUGUGAUUGAGAGGUUUCAGCAUAAACUCCAUAAUUGGAAGUAUUCGGUCGUCACACGCUUAUUCAAGCUACUCUUUCUAGCCUCCUUACAUAUUAUUUGUCUCUGUUUAAGGCUUCUUCCUCUAUUAUUAAUUGCCUGGAUAGAUUGGUUCGGGAUUUCUUUUGGGAAGGCUCUCAUGGUGAUGGUGGUGUUCAUAAUGUGAAUUGGAUGGUUUCUCAGCAUCCAAAAUUAUUGGGAGGUCUUGGCAUAGGCAAUUUUAACCAUCGGAAUUUGGCUCUUCUUGUGAAAUGGGCUUGGCGGUUUUUAAUUGAACAUGAUGCUUUAUGGAGGAAGCUUAUUGUUGUCAAGUAUUAUUCUACUGAUUGUGUUUGGCCCUCCCUGUCAAUGGAGCUUCUUCCAAAUCACCAUGGAGGUAUGUUUGUCUGUCUUUUGAGUUGAUUGCUAAUCGAGUUAGUUGCCGCAUUGGGGAUGGUUCAUCUACGUCCUUUUGGAAUGACUCUUCGCUUAGUUGUGGAGUCCUUUCUACCACCUAUCCACGGCUUUUUCGUCUUGUACAACAUUCUGAGGUUACAGUUGCUAGUGUUUGGAACUCAUCUAUGACUGCAUGGAAUUUGGACUUACGUCGUAAUCUUAAUGAGUUAGAGAUUGCUGAGUGGGCCUCAUUAUCCUUUCACUUGACACCAAUCCGAUUGCGUGCUACCCUUGAAACUUGGUUGUGGCCUCUUGAUCUAUCUUUGGGCUUUACUGUCAAGUCUCUUAUGACUGAUUUGGAAGGUGAUCUGGAUUCAGACUUGACUGAUCUUUAUUCGGUGAUUUGGAAGGAUAGAUAUCCUAAGAAGAUUAAAAUCUUCUUUGGGAACUCAGUUGGGGUGCCAUUAAUAUUUAAUACUGCUGAUCAUUAGCAACGUCGUAUGUCUUACAUGUCUCUUUCUCCAUCUUGGUGUCAUAUGUGCCAUGAACAUGCUAAAUUGUCAGUUCAUCUAUUUUUUCAUUGUUCUUUUGCUACUGGCAUUUGGAACCUUCUCUUGCCUCAUUUUGCUUGGAAUUUCACUUGUCCACAUGAUAUUUCUGAUGCUUUGGUCUCGGUGUUAGUGGGACAUCCUUUUGGUGGAACCAAGAAGGUCAUUUGGUUGGCUUUUAUCCGUGCUUAUGGAGUGAAAGGAACGGACGGCUUUUUCAUGAUACAUGUUCUUCUUCUGUUAGGUUUUUUGAGUUAGUUUUAUCUACCGCUUUUUCUUGGUGUAAAUUACAGCACCCUUUCACUCAUUUCAUUUUAUCUUUCUUAGUCAAUAAUUGGCACUCUAUUGUAAUUCUUCGGGGUCUUCCCCUUAUUCAUAUUAAUAAAGUUUCUUUUACCCAAAAAAAAAAAAAAUUCUACUUUGGCGACUAA